CGUCUCAAGUCUGAGUGAACAGAUCUUUGGCUUUGCCUUUGCUGGUGACCUGCUGCAGAAGAUCCUCUCUCUCUAUCAUUAUAAGCAAUUCUGUCUAUCCUAUCACUCUCCCAACUCUAAUUUGACAGCCAUUCUAUCUUGUAUCCCUCUAUCUCUACUGCUCUAUCUAAUUUGACAGCCAUUCUAUCUUGUAUCCCUCUAUCUCUACUGCUCUAUCUAAUUUGACAGCCAUUCUAUCUUGUAUCCCUCUAUCCCAAGCACUCUAUCUAAUUUCAGAAUCCAAGUUUUCAGAAUCCAAGUUUUCAGAAUCCCAAGUUACCAGUACUUGAUCUAUCUGUUACAGAAUUCUGAGAGAUCUCUGCUCUUACUGCUCCUUCUUUCCUGUCAUUAAACUCUCACAUUCAGUCAUUUUGUUGAAAAUUACAAGUAGAAAGUUGAAUAUACAGUAGUAGAAUUACAGUACAGUAGAACUUAUAGUAGAAACUACUUAAACAGCCCUACAUUUGUCAUUUUAAUUUUGCAUUAGACUUUGGAAUUAACACUGCUACUUUGGCUUACUUUGAUCAAUUACAUAAAAUAUCACCUUUUUAGAAGUUUAUUUGUAAUAAGAUAAUCUGGUUAUUUUGUAAUACAUACAUUCAGAUAAAUAUUAAAUUAGAUCCAAAUACAUUUUGCUAGUCUGUUUCAUUGGCUAUAACAUUUGACUGCAAGUUUAUAGUAUUAUUAUUUAAGGACAAACCCAUUUUGUCACUCAGUGUAAGUAUUCAGUUAGUAUUGUCAUCAAGAAGCGCCUGAGGACCCAGACUGUUUCCUGACUGCUGCAGAACAUCCAGCUGAAGAAUCCUCAUCGCCUGUCAUCUUAUCACCACGCCACCAAAGCUCCAUAUAUUUGAUUUCAAUUUUAGAUAUCUGAAAGAUUUACAUAAACUCCCCUAAGAGCUAAGACUUUUAUUAUAGCCUGUUGAUUGUGGAGAUUUAUUCUGCAUAUCAAUUUACAGAAGUUGUAAUUAUUUACCAGUCUGGUUAAAAAAAAAAAAUAUAAGAAGUAAAAUUGUACAGUUUCUAAAAGAGCUACAAUAAAACGGACCAAAUUGUUUCCAGAGAA